UAGGGAGCGAGCGUUAUCCGGAUUUAUUGGGUGUAAAGGGUGCGUAGACGGGUCUUCAAGUUAGUUGUGAAAUCCCUCGGCUCAACUGAGGAACUGCAGCUAAAACUAUAGAUCUUGAGUGCAGGAGAGGUAAGUGGAAUUCCUAGUGUAGCGGUGAAAUGCGUAGAUAUUAGGAGGAACACCAGUGGCGAAGGCGACUUACUGGACUGCAACUGACGUUGAGGCACGAAAGUGUGGGGAGCAAA
rnacentral:rRNA from 1 species